UGCUGCGGAGUGUCAUUGUGGCCAGGGUUUGGGUGUCUGCGGAAGUUGUCGGACACGGUAAAGAAAGCGAUACACAGCAAAAAAGUGGGAGGGAAACGCUAUUCGUAUGAGCUGGGAGGGUUUACAAAAACUUAGUGCACGUGGGAAAACAUAAAUUUGAAACUCCCAGUCCCGUGCUUACAGCAAACGUGAAAACACCUGGAACGGCGAAAGGCUCGACUGACCGGCACCAUCUUUGUUGGGGGAAAUGAGCCGCAGGACAAAUGAACCGCCGCCAACUUUGUUCGGGCAGGUUUCAGCGGGACGCAUGCGCACCCUCCCCUGGUAGAGCGUGUUCGCGGAGAAUUGGCGGAGACACCAGCGAUCUUUGCGAAAACUCCUGAUGACUGUGCAGACGGUGAUGUUUGGUGAUGGUGCUUCCACAAUGCAGUUAGGUUAUUACAAAUGGACUUGCAGGUGGGAAUCUCAAAAUAAUUAUAAUGUCAAACUCUGAAGAAUUGCUGAAUUUGUCAGGACCUGGAUAUUUGCAUUGUAUACAGCGAUAACCGGUAGUGGUUUAACCUGAAGAUUACCACGUCCCAGGCAAGGGGAGAAGUUGCGAAGGAAAGUCCACCUGUUCUCGUGUACCAGCAACACCCAUGUCACAUGUUAAAAAACCCUAAGCAUGAUAUUCAUUGAGACUGGGAUCUUAAAACAAGUUCUAACAGUCAGCAGAAUCAUUAGGAUCUGAAUAUCAUUGCCUUUUAACUGUGGAAAGAAAAAGGAUUUUGAACACUCCGUGUGCAGAAGAGUCUGUGAAUAUUCAUCUGACAUAUCCAAAUGCCUGCGCAGUCACACUGGGAAAAGACUGGAAAUGUGGGGAUCGUGGGAAGGGAUUUGUUUACCCAUCUCGGCUUGAAAUUCACCAACGCAGUCACACUGGGGAGAAACCAUUCUCCUGCUUUUAUUGUGGGAUGGGAUUCACUCAGUCGUCCCACCUGCAGACACACCAACGGGUUCACACCGGGGAGAGACCAUUCACCUGCUCCCAGUGUGGGAUGGGAUUCAGUCACUCCUCCAGCCUGCGCAUACACCAACUGCGCAUAAACCAUUCUCCUGCUUUGAUUGUGGGAUCGGAUUCACUUCAUCAUCCAGCCUGCAGAAACACCAGCGAAUUCCCACUGGGGAGAGAUCAUUCAUUUGCUGCGUAUGUGAAAAGGGUUUCACUCGGUCAUCCCACCUACAGAGACACCAGCGAAUUCACACUGGAGAGAGACCGUUUGCCUGUUCCAGUUGUGGGAAGGGAUUUACUCGAUCAUCCCACCUGCUGGAACACCAGCGAGUUCACAAUGGGGAGAGGCCAUUUGACUGUUCUGACUGUGGGAAGGGAUUCACUCGGUCAUCCCACCUGCUGGAACACCAGCGAGUUCACAAGCGGGAGGGACCAUUCAUCUGCUCCGAUUGUGGGAAGGGAUUCAUUCGGUCAUUCCACCUUGCAGAGACACCGGAGAGUUCACACUGGAGGGAAAGCAUUCAUCUGCUCCUGUUGUGGGAAGGGAAUUUACCCAAUCAUCCAACCUGUGGAUACACCAGCAAGUUCACACUGGAGAGAGACCAUUCACCUGCUCUGACUGUGGGAACAGAUUUAAACAAUCAUCUCACCUGCUGGAACACCAGCAAGUUCACACUGGGGAGAGACCAUUCAAAUGCUACAUGUGUGAAAAGGGAUUCACUCGGUCAUUCCACCUGCUGGAACACCAGCGAGUUCACAAGCGGGAGAGACCAUUCAUCUGCUCCGAUUGUGGGAAGGGAUUCACUCGGUCAUUCCACCUUGCAGAGACACCGGAGAGUUCACACUGGAGGGAAAGCAUUCACCUGCUCCUAUUGUGGGAAGGGAAGUUACCCAAUCAUCCAACCUGUGGAUACACCAGCAAGUUCACACUGGAGAGAGACCAUUCACCUGCUACUUGUGUGAAAAGGGAUUCACUCGGUCAUUCCACAUGCAGAGACACCGGAGAGUUCACACUGGAGUGAAACUUUGUACCUGCUCCGCUUGUGGGAAGGGAUUUACCCAAUCAGCCAGCCUGCAGAAUCACCAGCAGCAAGUUCACGCUGGGAAGAAACUUUCAGUCAGUCAACUCAAUUGCUGAUACCGCAGUGUGUUCCCUCCAUGGGGAGAGAUUCACUCUGCCAUCCAAACGAUUAAAACACCAGUGAAAUGACAGUGGGUGUGUCCUGUUCACCUACUCCAUUUGUGUUAAAUGUUUUGCUGUUUGCUCACACACCAGCAAAUUCACAAAAACCGUGGGUGAGGGACUUUGCUUUUGCUUACGCCAAGGAAUGAGCCUUGGUCAUUGUGUU